rnacentral:rRNA from 1 species
GAACGGUAGCACAGAGAGCUUGCUCUCGGGUGACGAGUGGCGGACGGGUGAGUAAUGUCUGGGAAACUGCCCGAUGGAGGGGGAUAACUACUGGAAACGGUAGCUAAUACCGCAUAACGUCUACGGACCAAAGUGGGGGACCUUCGGGCCUCACACCAUCGGAUGUGCCCAGAUGGGAUUAGCUAGUAGGUGGGGUAACAGGCUCACCUAGGCGACGAUCCCUAGCUGGUCUGAGAGGAUGACCAGCCACACUGGAACUGAGACACGGUCCAGACUCCUACGGGAGGCAGCAGUGGGGAAUAUUGCACAAUGGGCGCAAGCCUGAUGCAGCCAUGCCGCGUGUAUGAAGAAGGCCUUCGGGUUGUAAAGUACUUUCAGCGGGGAGGAAGGCGAUGAGGUUAAUAGCCUCGUCGAUUGACGUUACCCGCAGAAGAAGCACCGGCUAACUCCGUGCCAGCAGCCGCGGUAAUACGGAGGGUGCAAGCGUUAAUCGGAAUUACUGGGCGUAAAGCGCACGCAGGCGGUCUGUCAAGUCGGAUGUGAAAUCCCCGGGCUCAACCCGGGAACUGCAUUCGAAACUGGCAGGCUAGAGUCUUGUUAGAGGGGGGUAGAAUUCCAGGUGUAGCGGUGAAAUGCGUAGAGAUCUGGAGGAAUACCGGUGGCGAAGGCGGCCCCUGGACAAGACUGACGCUCAGGUGCGAAAGCGUGGGAGCAAACAGGAUUAGAUACCCUGGUAGUCCACGCCGUAAACGAUGUCGACUUGGAGGCUGUUCCCUUGAGGAGUGGCUUCCGGAGCUAACGCGUUAAGUCGACCGCCUGGGGAGUACGGCCGCAAGGUUAAAACUCAAAUGAAUUGACGGGGGCCCGCACAAGCGGUGGAGCAUGUGGUUUAAUUCGAUGCAACGCGAAGAACCUUACCUGGCCUUGACAUCCACGGAAUUCUGCAGAGAUGCGGAAGUGCCUUCGGGACCCGUGAGACAGGUGCUGCAUGGCUGUCGUCAGCUCGUGUUGUGAAAUGUUGGGUUAAGUCCCGCAACGAGCGCAACCCUUAUCCUUUGUUG